AUUGAACGCUGGCGGCAGGCCUAACACAUGCAAGUCGAGCGGCAGCGGGAAAGUAGCUUGCUACUUUUGCCGGCGAGCGGCGGACGGGUGAGUAAUGCCUGGGAAAUUGCCCAGUCGAGGGGGAUAACAGUUGGAAACGACUGCUAAUACCGCAUACGCCCUACGGGGGAAAGCAGGGGACCUUCGGGCCUUGCGCGAUUGGAUAUGCCCAGGUGGGAUUAGCUAGUUGGUGAGGUAAUGGCUCACCAAGGCGACGAUCCCUAGCUGGUCUGAGAGGAUGAUCAGCCACACUGGAACUGAGACACGGUCCAGACUCCUACGGGAGGCAGCAGUGGGGAAUUUUGGACAAUGGACGCAAGUCUGAUCCAGCCAUGCCGCGUGAGUGAAGAAGGCCUUCGGGUUGUAAAGCACUUUCAGCGAGGAGGAAGGGUGGUGUGUUAAUAGCACAUCAUCUUGACGUUACUCGCAGAAGAAGCACCGGCUAACUCUGUGCCAGCAGCCGCAGUAACAC
rnacentral:rRNA from 1 species